CUCGUGACUGUAGUAAGGGAUGAGAAAAUGAAGGGGUAUACAACAUAGCAGAAAAGGCAGAGAAUCAGAAGUCUGUGUCAAAGGUGCCUUUUCAGUGGAAUGUCACUAGAUUAAACUGCAGCCGCAUCCUACCUCCAAAGGGGAAGAAAGAGCAUUUCCACAUGCAGAAGCAUCAGUAGGGCUGAAUGGCUCUGCCCUGACGACUCUGUUCAGCACACAAAUUCUCUGAGAAGAUUGCAUCCAAACCCAAACCAGCUCUAGCCCUAAUUUCUGGAAGAAUAUCUGCCCGGGUCACCAGAGUACUAUUCUAAGCAUGCCAGAGUGACAACUAGCUUUUCACAACUGGGUCAUCUGAACUAGGUCCCUGUGAGUAAGAGUUGAGCCUUCUAUGUGUACAAGCUUAUGUUAAAUGUAGAUUCCUACCUCAUCAUUGUGGAUAACUAGAUUUUGAAACCUGACACCAACAUCUACAAGCACUUUGUGAAGUACCUGACGCUCUAAAUAAGAUCGACUUCUGAUAAAUAAGCAUGCUGAUUAAAAUUCAAGAGAAGUGCCAA